rfam:Triticum aestivum genome assembly, contig: Triticum_aestivum_CS42_TGACv1_scaffold_226382_3B
GUAUUACUCCCCCGUCCGGAAUUAUUUGUCAUCAAAAUGGAUGAAAAUAGAUGUAUCUAGAACUAAAAUACAUCUAAAUACAUCCAUUUCAACGACAAGUAUUUCGAGACGGAUGGAGUAAUUU